rnacentral:rRNA from 1 species
UACGUAGGUGGCAAGCGUUGUCCGGAAUUAUUGGGCGUAAAGCGCGCGCAGGCGGUUAGGUAAGUCUGAUGUUAAAGCCCGAGGCUCAACCUCGGUUCGCAUUGGAAACUGCGUAACUUGAGUGCAGAAGAGGAAAGUGGUAUUCCACGUGUAGCGGUGAAAUGCGUAGAGAUGUGGAGGAACACCAGUGGCGAAGGCGACUUUUCUGGUCUGUAACUGACGCUGAGGCACGAAAGUGUGGGGAUCAAACAGG